CCGUGCGCUCCCCGGCCACCGUCGCUCUGCCCUCGGCUCUCUGGGGCCGGGGAUUCCGGAUCGGGAGCCGGGAUGCGGGCCGGGGCGCGCACAGACGCUAGGCGGCCCAGCCCGGGCGCCGCUGGCACCGGCUCGCGGCUCCCGGCAAAAACCCGUCCGACUGGCUGGGCCACUCCCGCCUGACGCCCCCCCAGAUGACACGACUAGCUCUCCCGGCGUGCUGCCUUUGCCAGUCUACCCGCCAGGUUGUCAGAACAAGCGGCACCUCGCCUCCUGCGUGUCCCUACAGAGCCCCGGCACAAUCAGACUGCCCCAAGCCAGCUCCGAAACCCGAAAUCCCCGCUCCGGCGCUUGCCCACCACGGCCAAAGUUGUGGAAACAGCUUUGACUUUAUUCUCCUCUCUCUCUCAUCUUUUUUUGCCUCGCUUACACACGCAUUCACACUUGCCCCCACAGGAUCCCUCUAGGGGUGCAAGUUCAUCCCCCACCUAGCCACCCACCCCAUCCAGUCGGCACCUAGAGCCGCACGGAGGUUCGGACCCCGCCCGCCGAGGGCGCCCACACCUGGAGCUGGGUUUCGGCCUCUGCGAAAGUGAAAUGCCCAAGCCUCCGGCCAAAGCCCAGACCAGUACAGUAUGAAUUGUCCUAUGAGACUGAGGGGUUCGGCUUCAUUCCUACCUGCCCGCAAAGCUCGCCCCCAGCCUCGAAAACAAAGCGACUGGUCUGACGUGGGGUCCCUGCGCCCCUCCUCUAGCGCGACAGGACCCCCCCAGGGAAGAGCCAGUACCCGUGGGAUGUCACCCCGUCCCCAUCUACCGGGGUGGGGGGCCUGAAAGGAGAACGAUUUAAAAUAAUCUUCAGAAAGAAAAGGGAGGAGGGAGCGGGUGACACAUCGUUCACAUAAACCCAAUUUCUGGUUUCGAGUGAAGUCAAGAUCUCCGCCCCUGCGCCUGCACACACACCUCCUGCCUAACAUUCUCAGCUGCAAAUGCCAAAAAAGAAAAAAAAAAAAAACAGCAAAAGUUGGGACUGCCACCUAUUUAUUUAGGCACAGCCAAAAUUGGUCAGAAAGGGGAGUAAAGUGGGACACGAGCUUCAAAGUAGGGAAACCAAAGAAGGGAGCAUCCACGUCCUCUCUCUGCAGCUUCUCCCCCGCGUUCUUCGGGCGAAUCCGAGGGACGGGCGCUGCGCUGGGGAAAGUUUGUCCCACCCGCGUUUCGCAGCUGGUUGCAAGGAGAGGAGGAGGAGAGGGAGGGUCAAGCUCGGAGCCUGUGACCGCACGGAUGAUCGAGCCGGCGUCGCGCUUACCUCGCAGUCCUCGUACUUGAUAUUAUCCGUCAAUUUCCAAAGCAUUUUCAUGGAUCGGCGUGAACGGAUAUGCCCCUCUCGGUCUCGCACCCAAGUGGAGCUACUCUCUGGCCUAAUCGCCUCAUUAGCAUAUCAACAAUAGUCCAAUUGCUCGCCAGUACCACAAUCUGCCGCCGGCCGCUCCGACACAGGUAUAAAGGCCUCUCUACGCCGCGAACUUGCUUCUAGAGCGCACUCCAGCCUGCGAACUGAUAAAACCUUCCUCGAGCUCCGCCGCGAGGCCCUGCCCCAACACCCCCUCUCUUACCCCAAUUCCGCCACAUUCCCCUUCCUUUCUUUCUCCGCUUCCUUUUCUCCAGAGAUGCCUUCUGCAAAGCCCGGCACUGCUCAAGGUCCAAGCGCCACGCCUGGGGCCCAGCUUCUAGCACUUCUCCCUUAACCCUGCUACCACGAUCCGAGCUGCCCUUUUGGCCCCGUGCAAUUUUAUUAGAAAUCAUUAUCCCUUUCGCAAUUAAACAUAACCACCAAACCAAGACCGGCGAAGUCACUCCAGGAUUUUUUCCCAACAAGGGAUCGCCUCCGCUCGAGGCAGCCACCCCCUCGGGCCGCAGCGCCUUGGGAGUUUUAUUGGCUUUGAGCUUUCCCCCAGGUUGGAGAUUCUGCCAAGCGGCUCCGGUGGCUCUGCUGGGGUUUGCAAUCCCUUAAUUGCAGCGUGUAAAAUAAAAGUUGUACCCUGAAGAGGUUACUUGACAGCUCCAGGGGUUAAACAAUUUUUCUCCUGUUUGUGUGAAGCUAGGGCCAACUGACAGUUCAAAUUGGUGUUCAGGCUAAGGUUUCCUGGGUGCAACGUGGACACGAAUACAGAACUCCUAUGGAACUGCACACCCGCUUCUGAAGUUGAGCCUAAAAACAGACGUGUGUGUGCCUGCAAGUCUAGAUACCGUCUCGUGCGUGCAUCAAAAUAAAUCACCGGGAACCGACUUUUAGCUGUGUUAAUCUGCUCUAGUUUUCCCAAGAUUCCCCUUUUUAAUUAAAGCAGGGAGAGUUCCUUCAUGAUUUGGUGAUGCUACUAACGCGGGCGUGCUCGCGAGGCAGAGCCCGGCUGCCGCGGAACCUGGAGGCCUGGGAGCCACCUACUCGUCCAGACUGGUCAGUCCGGGCUUUUGGACUCCUCACCGGGGCCUGCUGGGUCCUCUGGGGCUUUUAUCCCUUUCGGUUUUGGGAUUUUUUUUUAAGUAAGAAAAAAAAAAAAGAAAAGGACCUAAUGUGACACUAGGAAAUACAGAGUAAUUAAUUUUCCUGGCUGAGCUUCCUCGUUUGUCCUCCAAAAGAAAGUUACCUCUGUCUUUUCUCUCUGCUAUAUGUACAAACUCCUUAACUACACUAGGUCCCGCCUCAGAGUUGCUCUAGUAAGGACCUUUGAUUCAUCUGGGCUUGUUUCUCGAAAAUCUCCAGGCCUCCCAUAUUUCCACCGGG
rnacentral:lncRNA from 1 species